CGCCAGACUCCUACGGGAGGCAGCAGUGAGGUAUAUUGGUCAAUGGGCGGAAGCCUGAACCAGCCAAGUCGCGUGAGGGAAGAAGGCCCUGCGGGUCGCAGACCUCUUUGGACGGGGAGCAAGGCCGCCGACGUGUCGGCGGAAGGAGAGUACCCGUAGAACAAGCAUCGGCUAACUACGUGCCAGCAGCCGCGGUAAUACGUAGGGGGCAAGCGUUAUCCGGAUUUACUGGGUGUAAAGGGAGCGUAGACGGCGAAGAAAGACUGAAGUGAAAGCCCGCGGCUUAACCGCGGAACUGCUUUGGAAACUUUUUUGCUGGAGUACCGGAGAGGUAAGCGGAAUUCCUAGUGUAGCGGUGAAAUGCGUAGAUAUUAGGAGGAACACCAGUGGCGAAGGCGGCCUGCUGGGCGUUUACUGA
rnacentral:rRNA from 1 species